rnacentral:rRNA from 1 species
GGUCGGACGCAAGCCAGUGUAAAGCUCCUUCGACGAGUCGAGUAGUUUGGGAAUGCUGCUCUAAAUGGGAGGUAUAUGUCUUCUAAAGCUAAAUAUAGGCCAGAGACCGAUAGCGCACAAGUAGAGUGAUCGAAAGAUGAAAAGCACUUUGAAAAGAGGGUUAAACAGUACGUGAAAUUGUUGAAAGGGAAGCACUUGUGACCAGACUUGGGCCCGGUGAAUCAUCCAGCGUUCUCGCUGGUGCACUUCGCCGGGCUCAGGCCAGCAUCAGUUCGCCGCGGGGGACAAAAGCUUCGGGAACGUGGCUCCCUCGGGAGUGUUAUAGCCCGUUGCACAAUACCCUGCGGUGGACUGAGGUUCGCGGAUGCUG